rnacentral:rRNA from 1 species
GUCUAUGGCCAUACCACCCUGAAUGCGCCUGAUCUCGUCUGAUCUCGGAAGAUUGGUGGGCAAAGAGAAUCUUAUUUUUUAAGUACAAAAAUUGUCAGAGAAA